UAUAGAGACUCAGAGCUGCAUAUCAAUAAGCGGAGGAAAAGAAACUAACAAGGAUUCCCUUAGUAACGGCGAGUGAAGCGGGAAGAGCUCAAAUUUGAAAUCUUCAAGGUUCUACCUUGACGAAUUGUAGUUUAUAGAAGUGUUUUCUGUUAGGAAGUUGGCUAAAAGUUCUUUGGAAUAGGACAUCAUAGAGGGUGAGAAUCCCGUAUUUGGUCAUUCUUUCUAGCUUUGUGAUACACUUUCAACGAGUCGGAUUGUUUGGGAAUGCAGUCCAAAAUGGGUGGUAAAUUUCAUCUAAAGCUAAAUAUAGGCGAGAGACCGAUAGCGAACAAGUACCGUGAGGGAAAGAUGAAAAGAACUUUGAAAAGAGAGUUAAACAGUACGUGAAAUUGUCAAAAGGGAAGCGUUUGACACCAGUGUUGUUUUUCCGAAAAUCAAUUACGAAUGUUUUAUUUUUGAGAAGUUAUGACUUCAUCGGCUUGCUUCUCUCUUUAUGAAACUUUCUUAAUGCACUUUUCGGUUAACAAGUCAACAUCAAUUUCUUUUGUUGUAAAAGGGUAUGAGGAAGGUGGCUUUCUUUUCGGAGAAAGUGUUUAUAGCCUUGUACCUCUGCAAUCGGAGAGAUUGAGGUCUGCAGCGUAGAUCCUUCGGGGUUAGAUACAUUUGUGCUAAGUUAUAGCUUUUCAUAGACAACUUGUUGACUAUGUUAGUCUUGUAGCUUACUCGCUUAUGCUAUUUUACCUACGCUUAGGAUGUUGAUAGUCACAGCGUGUAC
rnacentral:rRNA from 1 species